UACGGAGGAUCCAAGCGUUAUCCGGAUUUAUUGGGUUUAAAGGGUGCGUAGGCGGCCUGUUAAGUCAGGGGUGAAAGACGGUAGCUCAACUAUCGCAGUGCCCUUGAUACUGAUGGGCUUGAAUACACUAGAGGUAGGCGGAAUGUGACAAGUAGCGGUGAAAUGCAUAGAUAUGUCACAGAACACCGAUUGCGAAGGCAGCUUACUAUGGUGUCAUUGACGCUGAGGCACGAAAGCGUGGGGAUCAAACAGG
rnacentral:rRNA from 1 species